GAUGGACGCUGGCGGCGUGCCUAACACAUGCAAGUUGAGCGAUCUUCUUCGGAAGAGAGCGGCGGACGGGUGAGUAACGCGUGGGUAACCUACCCUAUACACACGGAUAACAUACCGAAAGGUAUGCUAAUACGGGAUAAUAUAUUUCAUUCGCAUGUUUGAAAUAUCAAAGCUCCGGCGGUAUAGGAUGGACCCGCGUCUGAUUAGCUAGUCGGUGAGGUAACGGCUCACCAAGGCUACGAUCAGUAGCCGACCUGAGAGGGUGAUCGGCCACAUUGGAACUGAGACACGGUCCAAACUCCUACGGGAGGCAGCAGUGGGGAAUAUUGCACAAUGGGCGAAAGCCUGAUGCAGCAACGCCGCGUGAACGAUGAAGGCCUUCGGGUCGUAAAGUUCUGUCCUCAAGGAAGAUAAUGACGGUACUUGAGGAGGAAGCCCCGGCUAACUACGUGCCAGCCGCCGCCGUAACAC
rnacentral:rRNA from 1 species